rnacentral:lncRNA from 10 species
UAAUAUUUUAAAUUGUCUAUAAUUUGGCUGGCAUUGAGAAAUCUUAAAUAAUUGAAUAUCCUGUACCAUAGAGGGCUUCCGUCUAUUCUGAAUUCUUUCUUUAAUAUGUUACUUUUUAAUAGCCAAACCCAUAGGAUGAUGAGUUUACUUCCUGAGUAAGCCUCACAAUUCUAGGAGAUGAAACACUGUGCAAAGUAAAGUCCACAGCUGGACCUGCAAACAGAACCCACAGGUUUGGGUCCUAGAGCCUUCGCUUUUAGUACUUUGGUGAUCUUAUGUAAGGCUCUUACCUCUCUGGCUUCAGUGUCAUCAUUUGUAAAAUGAUGGAGUUGAGUAGCAUAAAUUCUGGCUUUCCUUUUAGCUCUGACAUUCUGUGACUCUAUGUUUCUACUUAUACUCAGGCAGCUGACAGUGUUGCAUUGCAGAGAGAAUAUAUUACAGACUUAAUAGUGCCUGGUAAGGGACAUAGAAGGAGAGCUCCAAUACUGAGAAAUCAAUACCCACUAGCAUAGAACAGAAGAGGGAAAGUGCAGAGGGCAGUCAAUCAAGGGCUAAUGCAAGGCAGACAAUGUGGCCAAGGCCAGAGAUGGAAAGAAAAAUGAGGAAUGUGGGUGGGAGGGAUGGGGGUGAUAUCAGGAUAAGGCUCCUUUUAAGAAUAGCUGCUCAUGGUAGGAAGAAAUAAUGUGUAAAUCAUGGUUUUAUAGGUCUUAGUUUUUCUUGCUUGAAAUGUUACAGGUUUGUCUGUUACUGUUAGCUAUUAACUAGAAGUUGGCAUAUUGUUCCCUAGUCCUUGGAAAUAUAGUUGCAAUAGACAAUAUGGAAGUAAAACAGGGUUGGGCCAUCACAUGGCUCACCCAUGGCCAAGAAUUCCGAAGCACAUAGUGUAAACUUAGUUGUGUGGUUUGUUUGGAUCUAGUUUCCCCUGUGUCUCCCUGCAGCAGCUAUGGGGAUUAUUAAUAGAAAUUCUGUACUAGGGAAUGCCUAGUGAGUUUAGUAGUAGGGAAACCACCC